rnacentral:rRNA from 1 species
GAAAUAGAACCUGAAACCGUGUACGUACAAGCAGUAGGAGCACCUUCGUGGUGUGACUGCGUACCUUUUGUAUAAUGGGUCAGCGACUUAUAUUCAGUGGCAAGGUUAACCGUAUAGGGGAGCCGUAGCGAAAGCGAGUCUUAACUGGGCGCUCAGUCUCUGGAUAUAGACCCGAAACCGGGUGAUCUAGCCAUGGGCAGGUUGAAGGUUGAGUAACAUCAACUGGAGGACCGAACCGACUAAUGUUGAAAAAUUAGCGGAUGACUUGUGGCUAGGGGUGAAAGGCCAAUCAAACUCGGAGAUAGCUGGUUCUCCCCGAAAGCUAUUUAGGUAGCGCC